UCUCAUCUUGGAUUUGUCGUUUUAGGAUUUUUAGAAGAUGUUUUAGGAAAAUAGGAUUUUGAUUUUCUUUAAAUACCAUAUUACCCUUAAUUUUUCUAUUAAGUUGAUUUAUAAUUAUAAUUUGUAAUUUUCGUAAUUGAUUUAAAAUGUUAAAAUAGUAAAAAGUUAAAAAACAAAAAAAAUAGACAAAAGGAAAGAGGGGUAGUCGAUACCCUUCUUGUCUUCUCCACCGUAGAAUGCUUUUCCAUGGUGAUUUAGGUUUCAGCAGAGAAAAUUCUUGUUCUUCUGUGUUUCAUCUGCCCAUAAUCUCUAAUCUCGUUUUUGUUCAUCUUUCUCUAUGAUCUUACUGAAGAUACAAUGAAGUCCAAGUGUUGUUCAUCUUUUCGAAAUCAAAGUCUUCUUCCAUCAAUUUCGACGAAAUCUCACAAAUCUUCACACAAGAAUAUUGAUUAAGGUUUUUGGAGAGGGGAAAAUACGGGACUUGAAAUCUUAGACUUGCUGUUGUCCGGUCCUGAUCUUCCGGCGUUACGGAUCUGUGAUGAUAAGUAUUAUAGGCUAAUCCUGUAUACUUUUUUGUGAAGCCUAAGAGUGUAUCGGCUGGUGUGGGAGUUGAAGGAGAAGGUGAUAAGGUUUGUUCUUGCUGUACUCUGUAUGAGAUUGAUGAAUAUGGGGUGAAGAGUAAAGGGGAGACAGAACAAAGCUAUAUGCGUGAACUGUAUUGCGCCUUCAUUUGUGGCUACGUGUAUGUUCCAACUUUGAUCCCUCUUCCAUGGGUAAGAGAUUAGGGCUUUGUUUCUUGUUCUAUAAACUUUCGUUUUACUCUUUGUUCGUUGAUCUUCUGCCAUGUAUAUCUUGAAAGGAACUAUAUGAUACAUCUGUAUUGUGCAGAUGUUACUGAACAUGACGUUGGGUUUGGUUUUUGUAUUACAAUCCUGACAAGUUUUAGUUUAUGGUGCACUGUUAUAUCAUGUGUGUCUCAGUAA